GAUGAACGCUGGCGGCGUGCCUAAUACAUGCAAGUCGAGCGAACAGACGAGGAGCUUGCUCCUCUGACGUUAGCGGCGGACGGGUGAGUAACACGUGGAUAACCUACCUAUAAGACUGGGAUAACUUCGGGAAACCGGAGCUAAUACCGGAUAAUAUAUUGAACCGCAUGGUUCAAUAGUGAAAGACGGUUUUGCUGUCACUUAUAGAUGGAUCCGCGCCGCAUUAGCUAGUUGGUAAGGUAACGGCUUACCAAGGCAACGAUGCGUGGCCGACCUGAGAGGGUGAUCGGCCACAAUGGAACUGAGACACGGUCCAGACUCCUACGGGAGGCAGCAGUAGGGAAUCUUCCGCAAUGGGCGAAAGCCUGACGGAGCAACGCCGCGUGAGUGAUGAAGGUCUUCGGAUCGUAAAACUCUGUUAUUAGGGAAGAACAAAUGUGUAAGUAACUAUGCACGUCUUGACGGUACCUAAUCAGAAAGCCACGGCUAACUACGUG
rnacentral:rRNA from 1 species